UACGGGGGGUGCGAGCGUUGUCCGGAAUCACUGGGCGUAAAGGGCGCGUAGGUGGUCUGAUAAGGGUGUGGUGAAAGUCCGGGGCUCAACCCCGGAUCUGCCGUGCCGACUGUCAGACUCGAGGACUGGUAGAGGCGAGGCGGAAUUCCGGGUGUAGCGGUGGAAUGCGUAGAGAUCCGGAGGAAGACCGGGUGGCGAAGGCGGGU
rnacentral:rRNA from 1 species